rnacentral:lncRNA from 1 species
AGUUCCUAAGGGUAAAGAGGGCUCCGCGCAUGCAGGAAGACCACCCUAAGGGAAGAAUCAUGGGAAAGAGAUCAUACGCACUGCACUGGUUACAUGGAUUACAGCUGCAGACUUCUAACACAAAAUCCACACACAAGUACACGGACCCAGGUGGAGGCCUCAGCCCCUUAUUUCCUGCUUCUCUCCACUGUCUUAUUUUCAAGCUGCUACUGGUGCACCAUGAGAACCUGAUUUAAUACUAAGUGUCCAUACCAAAGGAAUUGAAUCAGACGAUAACUUUUCUGCACUUUUCCUGGUGACUCUUGGAUCAGUGGCUCCUUUGAAAGUAAUUGGGCUUUAAGGCCAUUUCAACCAAGCAGAAUUGUGAAGACAAACAUAAAGAAACAAAGAUGAGAGUCCCACCCACUGAGGAAGAGAAAGAGCUGAAGAACAGGAGCAGAGGGAAAGGACAGAAAGAAACCCACUAAGCCUCCCUCCAGGUGACUGAGAGAUUUUUCGUCUUGGUUCAAGUCCUUUGUAAGGCUUAGCUAUAAUUCCUACCCUUGCAUUCUGCAUAAUUACCCUGUGUACCUUUUUUUUUCCUUUGCUUUGGAUUUUUUAUAUUUACAACUAAACAAUGCAUGUCUAAGAAACC